UUUAUUUAUUUAGCUUUGCCAACUAGGGCAGGGUCACCACAACAGCAUAUGCCAAUUACUGUGGGCCCUUUUUACCUAACCCACCCUUGUCAACUUUCCCUGUGGGAGGAAACCGGAGUACCCGGGGAAAACCCACGGCGUUCGGCAGAGCGUUGACUUUUUACUCUUUUCACAUGGGAACUGGGUUCGAGUCGCACUGAGAAGGUACUUAGUGAGACUCGAACCUGCAGUCUCAGAGGUGAAAGGCAAGUGCGCUAACCACUUGGCCACCGAAGCCCCAAAUAUCAUUGGUAUCAUUGGUUUUCUCUUUUUCGGCCGUACACCAGUGGAGUCGUCUCACUUCUCUCUUCAUUUUGAUAAUAUUUUGAGCCGAAAAGCCCAAAAAUAUUUUAUUUUGAACGUUUUAAGAGUAGAUAUCUCUAAAAAUCAAACAAGUGGUGGCAAACUUUGAAAAAUCGAUAUCCCUCAUACUUUCAAGUCCGGAAGGGUAA